rnacentral:rRNA from 1 species
GAGUUUGAUCUUGGCUCAGAGCGAACGCUGGCGGCAGGCUUAACACAUGCAAGUCGAGCGGGCGUAGCAAUACGUCAGCGGCAGACGGGUGAGUAACACGUGGGAACGUACCUUUUGGUUCGGAACAACUGAGGGAAACUUCAGCUAAUACCGGAUAAGCCCUAACGGGGAAAGAUUUAUCGCCGAAAGAUCGGCCCACGUCUGAUUAGCUAGUUGGUGAGGUAAUGGCUCACCAAGGCGACGAUCAGUAGCUGGUCUGAGAGGAUGAUCAGCCACACUGGGACUGAGACACGGCCCAGACUCCUACGGGAGGCAGCAGUGGGGAAUAUUGGACAAUGGGGCAACCCUGAUCCAGCCAUGCCGCGUGAGUGAUGAAGGCCCUAGGGUUGUAAAGCUCUUUUGUGCGGGAAGAUAAUGACGGUACCGCAAGAAUAAGCCCCGACUAACUUCGUGCCAGCCGCCGCAGU